AUGCACCACAAAAUUGUGAGGUCAGUCAGAACCGCGGCGGCUACCACUCAAAAUUGGCUGUCAAACCUCAACCUCGCGGCCUGAUGCAGCCAAAACUGUGCCCAAGCAACAUCCAAGCACAGACGUCCGAGUAAUUUAACGCACUCCGUAACCUCGAAUCCCACCACUUUGGCCAUUGUAACCCACUGAGUGUGAAGACAGUAACCCAGUUGAGGAAAAGCUCCAGCGGAGUGAACUCACAACUGAUGGGAGGAAUGCACAAGUGCUGUGCAACAAACAGAACAAACUCCAGUUGUACGAUCCCAUGCUAGAUUCAAGCACUGCCAUCAGCUCAGCAUGCUGCA
rnacentral:lncRNA from 1 species